rnacentral:rRNA from 1 species
UACGGGGGGAGCAAGCGUUGUUCGGAUUUACUGGGCGUAAAGCGCGCGUAGGCGGCUUUGCAAGUCGGGUGUGAAAUCCCCAGGCUUAACCUGGGAACUGCAUUCGAGACUGCAUUGCUAGAGUAUGGGAGAGGGAAGUGGAAUUUCCGGUGUAGCGGUGAAAUGCGUAGAUAUCGGAAGGAACAUCAGUGGCGAAGGCGACUACCUGGCCUGUUCUUGACGCUGAGGCGCGAAAGCUAGGGGAGCAAACGGG